rnacentral:rRNA from 1 species
AUACGGAGGGUGCAAGCGUUGUUCGGAAUCACAGGGCGUAAAGGGCGCGCAGGCGGUUUGGUAAGUCAGAUGUGAAAGCCCACGGCUCAACCGUGGAAGUGCAUUUGAAACUGUCAGACUUGAGUACUAGAGGGGAAAGUGGAAUUCCCGGUGUAGAGGUGAAAUUCGUAGAUAUCGGGAGGAAUACCGGUGGCGAAGGCGACUUUCUGGUCUAUCUCUGACGCUGAGGAGCGAAAGCUAGGGGAGCAAACGGGAUUAGAUACCCGAGUAGUCC